GAUGAACGCUGGCGGCGUGCCUAAUACAUGCAAGUCGAGCGAACAGACGAGGAGCUUGCUCCUCUGACGUUAGCGGAGGACGGGUGAGUAACACGUGGAUAACCUACCUAUAAGACUGGGAUAACUUCGGGAAACCGGAGCUAAUACCGGAUAAUAUAUUGAACCGCAUGGUUCAAUAGUGAAAGACGGUUUUGCUGUCACUUAUAGAUGGAUCUGGGCCGCAUUAGCUAGUUGGUAAGGUAACGGCUUACCAAGGCAACGAUGCGUAGCCGACCUGAGAGGGUGAUCGGCCACACUGGAAGUGAGACAGCGACCAGGCUCCUACGGGAGGCAGCAGUAGGGAAUCUGCCGCAAUGGGCGAGAGCCUGACGGAGCAACGCCGCGUGAGUGAUGACGGUCUUGGGAGCGUAAUGCUCUGUUAUUAGUGAAGAACAAAUGUGUAAGUAACUAUGCACUUCUUGACGGUACCUGAUCAGAAAGCCACGGCUAACUACGUG
rnacentral:rRNA from 1 species